CGGUGAGAGCUUUUCCCUCAUCUUCUGCAGAAGUCUUAUCUUCUCCCUAGUGCAGGUUAAGGUAUUCAAGCUCACCAAGAUCU
rnacentral:snoRNA from 1 species